UACAGAGCCUCGAGCGUUAGGCGGAAUCACUGGGCUUAAAGCGUGUGUAGGCGGACGUCUAAGUACCUUGUGAAAUCCCACGGCUCACCCGUGGAACGGCUGGGUAUACUGGUCGUCUUGAGCCUUCUAGGGGCUACCGGAACAAAUGGUGGAGCGGUGAAAUGCGUAGAUAUCAAGUGGAACACCAGUGGCGAAGGCGAGUCUCUGGACAUUUCCUGACGCUGAGGCACGAAAGCCAGGGGAGCAAACGGG
rnacentral:rRNA from 1 species